GAUAAACGCUGGCGGCGUGCAUAACACAUGCAAGUCGAACGAUGAAGCUUAAAUGAUCUCUUCGGAGUGACUCUAAGUGGAUUAGUGGCGGACGGGUGAGUAACGCGUGAGUAACCUGCCUUGCACAAGGGGAUAGCCGUUGGAAACGACGAAUAAUACCCUAUGACAUAAACUCUUCGCAUGAAGAGCUUAUCAAAGAUUUAUCGGUGUAAGAUGGACUCGCGUCUGAUUAGCUAGUUGGUGGGGUAACUGCUCACCAAGGCAACGAUCAGUAGCCGGCUUGGGAGAGUGUACGGCCACAUUGGGACUGAGACACGGCCCAGACUCCUACGGGAGGCAGCAGUGGGGAAUUUUGCACAAUGGGGACAACCCUGAUGCAGCGACGCCGCGUGUAGGAUGAAGGUCUUCGGAUUGUAAACUACUUUUAUAAGGGACGAAUUCGUGACGGUACCUUAUGAAUAAGAGGUUGCUAACUCUGUGCCAGCCGCCGCGGUAA
rnacentral:rRNA from 1 species